rnacentral:rRNA from 1 species
UACGGGAGGCAGCAGUGAGGAAUAUUGGACAAUGGCCGAGAGGCUGAUCCAGCCAUGCCGCGUGCGGGAGGACGGCCCUAUGGGUUGUAAACCGCUUUUGUCAGGGGGCAAUAAGGUCUACGUGUAGACUGAUGAGAGACCGGGCGAAUAAGCAUCGGCUAAC